rnacentral:tRNA from 1 species
GGGUGUUUAUAAUGGGUGUUCUGCAAAAGCACUUCGGGCUUUAUACGCCGGCAUCCU